AGGAAAAAAAGAGGAAUACCAGGUUCUAUGCAUUUGCUGAUACCUCUGCUUGUAGAGUUACUUUACCUAGGGUGUUAAUGUUCAUUACAGAAAAACAGAUUAAAAAGAAACAAAGGGGCGCCUGGGUGGCUCAGUC